ensembl:lncRNA
CUCCACUCCCUGUGAGGAGCUGCAGCUGCCAUAAGGCCUCCAUUCAGUCUCCUUUAAUCUGGGCUGAACAAACCAAGGGACUUCAGCCGCACCUCAUAUGUCUUCCCCUUUAGAUCCUUCUCCAACUUUGUAACUCUCCUUUGGACAUUCUCUAGUAGUUAUAUGUCCUGUUUGUACUGUGGUGCCCAAACCUGCAGACAGUACUUGAGGUGAGGCCACACCAAUACAACAUAGAGAGGGACAAACUCUUCCCUCAACUGGUUGUCAGUUCCAUACUUGAUGCACCCCGGAUAUGAUUGGCCUUCUUGGCUGCCCAGGCUCCUUUGACUUUAACAUACACGAAUACUAAAUGGUGACAUUUCAUACCGUAUGACGCUGAUGACACAAACCCUGCUUCAGGCAAGAGGUGUAUUAUGGGAUGUGCCAAGGGCUGAGGUUCUGGUGUGCGUGUGCAGGGGGCGCUGCAAGCCAAGGUUUCUCGCGAGCUCUGCUCCAUUGCCACCUCCCCGCCCGAAAGGAGGGACGUGAAGAUGCACGCAUGUAAACAUACACAUGUGAGGAUGUAUGUACAUCCACACCCAUAAGGCUUUAUUAUGCAAAUAAAUGGAGUCUUAAGACUUUUGUGUAAGGAAGUAUCUGGAAAAUGCACAGAUUGUGCUACAGUGAAUCUCGGGAAGAUUUUCCUCUCUUGAGCCGUGUAAUAAUUUUCAGUAGAUGAAUCUGCUUCUGAAGUUGAGGCAAAGGUGUAUGAAAUAAGAAACCAUGUGCUGUUCUGAUUAUUUGUUUUGACCUCUAAAGCAAAAAGCACACUAAUAUUAAUAAAGGAAAAAUAUUGAUGAUUGUGCCCUACCAUAAACAUUCAGGAAUCGAGCAAACACCACUGACAAGUGUCUUCAAACACCAACUCCAGGAAUGCCCUUCUCACUGUUGCAGGAAGAUACUCCAUGGUUUGUCGGCUCAGAAACUCCCAACCCAUAGCCUUAAUGCUGGUGAGCAUUUCUCCUAAAAGCUGUGCAGAGUUCAUGUUUUUAUAAAUGCAGC